rnacentral:rRNA from 1 species
UACAUAGGUGGCAAGCGUUAUCCGGAAUGACUGGGCGUAAAGGGAGUGUAGGUGGUAAUGUAAGUUAUAUGUGAAAGACCUGAGCUUAACUGAGGAACUGCAUAUAAGACUGCAAGACUAGAGUGUGAGAGAGGUAAGUGGAAUUCCUAGUGUAGCGGUAGAAUGCGUAGAGAUUAGGAAGAACACCAGAGGCGAAGGCGGCUUACUGGCUCAUAACUGACACUGAGGCUCGAAAGCGUGGGGAGCAAAC